GUGUCUGAGUGAGUGAGUAUGUGUGUGUGUAUGUGUGAGUGUGUAUGUGUGUGGGGGGUCUGUGUGUGUGUUGUAUCUUAUGGAUUGAGAAAGGGAUGUUUCAUGAAUGUCCCCUAUCCCACCCUUGUUACCUGUUAAAAGGAUCCUGUAGGAAGCACUCCUUCCAGACCAUGGAUGCUACCGCCCUGGACAUCAGGAAGAAAAAAGUAAGAGGUUCACAUGGUGUUGUCGCCUGCAAGCCUGCUGCAGGCAGACAGCACAAGCACAUCUCCGUGUCCUGUGGUGUGACUGACAGUUUCUGCAGUAAGUACAUCCAGAGGAUGAGAGAUACCACAAGGAAGCAGACACAGGAAAGUAAAUUAGUACAAAUAAGAAAACCGCAGUCCAGGGGCUGGAGAGACGGCUCAGAAGAUUAAGACCACUGACUGCUCUUCUGAAGAUCAUGAGUUCAAAUCCCAGCAACCAUAGCUC